ensembl:lncRNA
AGGAAUUUCUAGACUGAAUCGAGUGGACCGUCUGCGUGGUUGUUGAAAGUUGACUGAGUUUAGCAAAAAAAUGAAUCAAGGCAUCAAGAGAAAGAGAGAAAUCUCAGAGAUCACUGUGGGCUGACGGUGAAGAAUGCUGCAAACUGACUGAUUUGCUUUUAAAAUCAAGUGCAGCGUCAGUUAGCACUAGCGCUAAUACUGCUAGCAUUGAUGAGCCAGCACAGCAGGGAGAAAGACAGGACAGUGAGGAAUAUGAGCAAGAGGAGGAUGAGGAGGUAGACAUGGAUAACUGCGUGACGAUCGACUUGAUCAAAUGCCAUAUCACAAGAGUUGGCACCAACUCUAUCCGUGACAGCAACCAUGAAGUAACCACCAUUGUGGGAACAGACAAAACGGACGCCAUUAAGAUUCAGGAAACCUCCACACAGGCACUAUCUGCUUUGCCCAGUGUGUCUUAAAACACAAGAAAGUCUGUCAUGCCAUCUGCUCAGAGUCUGCAAGAAAACCUCCAGCCGAGCAGAUAUUGAAGCCCUGGUUGAAAAGGCCAAGAAAGAUGUUUUGGACCUGCUUCAGAAUGGCAGGGCCUUUAGUUAUGCAGUCCUUACACAAAUUAUGGCUGAUACGAAUCCACUCAAGAGGUUGGUGGCUUUUUGUUUACUCUUUACUCUGUCUUAUUCCCUUAUGUGUAGAUAUUCUAAAAUGUCUUGUUUUCCUCAUUGAAAGCUUGAUUGAGGAGUUAAACCGUCACCACUUGAUCGUCACCGGAUCCCCGCCCCCUCUGCCCACUGAAGCUGGCCCAUCCACCACACAGCCACCAGAGACUGGAGACCAGGGAGAGCCGUCGGGAGAGUGUGAGCCGUCUGACGCUGCAUCUGUCAGCAGUGGCGAGUUAUUUCAAUGUGACCAAGAUGUAAAUUACUCCAACAAGGUCAGGCAGAAAAUGUCAGAGAAGGGCCUGUAUAACAAGCACGACGUGAGCGAUCCACUGCUGAAUGACUUUGCCAAAUACUUGCAGACAGAGCUCCUCAAAGUUUCAAACAGGAGGUUGAAAAUGUUGCACAGUACCUCCAUUAUGCAGACUCAAAGGCACCAUCCCUUCAGUUUGUCAAUGACAGAGAGAAGCUCCAAGAGUACCUGCAUGCCCUCUCUGAGGCAAAAUUGA